GAUGCAAAGUUGUUUUUUUUUAAUUAAGACUUGAUUGGAGAAUUAAAUGGAUAUAAAUAAAAAUGUCUAUUUAUUUAACUUAUUUUUCAGGAGGACUGGAAGACAUUUGGGUGUUGAGUCAAAUUUAAUGGAAAAAUUCAGUGCGAACCUGCAAUGUUUAUAAAUGGAGGGCAGUAAAACUUGAAAAUAUGCCGCACAGCUAUAUGUUUUUAUUAGUGCAAAAAAAAGUAGUGCAUGUCUCCUUUCCAGGGAAAUCUAACAUUCUCCUCAAAACUUCCUGAAUGAAGAGUGACUGCAUAUGCAAUUUAGGCAGUUCCUAUGGAAAAUUGCAUUGCUGGUUUUACACAAGUGCAACCUAUAAGACCAUGGGCAGCACGACUUCCUGGUUCGAUGGGAACCCCAGCCGCUUGACAGAGUUUCACGAUGGAUUCUCCAGGGCCAUUAUUUACGUUAUGUAUAGCUGUAUGUACCCUUCCUUUAUAGUUUCUGAAACAACAUUAGCACUGUGUUGCAUACUUGAAGUGGAAGGAGCUGGUAUAUUAGAACCAAGAAAUAAUUUCUGUAGACCAGUUGUGCUGAUAGCUAUGUGAUUAAGUGCGACUUGUAUGGAUAGAUUAAUAGCUGCUGUUCGACGACCACGUUUCUUUGCGAUCACCUCAUUGUAAAGGUUGAACAUUUUUGAAUGGAGGACUGGAAGACAUUUGGGUGUUGAGUCAAAUUUAAUGGAAAAAUUCAGUGCGAACCUGCAAUGUUUAUAAAUGGAGGGCAGUAAAACUUGAAAAUAUGCCGCACAGCUAUAUGUUUUUAUUAGUGCAAAAAAAAGUAGUGCAUGUCUCCUUUCCAGGGAAAUCUAACAUUCUCCUCAAAACUUCCUGAAUGAAGAGUGACUGCAUAUGCAAUUUAGGCAGUUCCUAUGGAAAAUUGCAUUGCUGGUUUUACACAAGUGCAACCU